UGGGGAAUAUUGCACAAUGGGCGCAAGCCUGAUGCAGCCAUGCCGCGUGUAUGAAGAAGGCCUUCGGGUUGUAAAGUACUUUCAGCGGGGAGGAAGGCGUUGAGGUUAAUAACCUCAGCGAUUGACGUUACCCGCAGAAGAAGCACCGGCUAACUCCGUGCCAGCAGCCGCGGUAAUACGGAGGGUGCAAGCGUUAAUCGGAAUUACUGGGCGUAAAGCGCACGCAGGCGGUCUGUCAAGUCGGAUGUGAAAUCCCCGGGCUCAACCUGGGAACUGCAUUCGAAACUGGCAGGCUAGAGUCUUGUAGAGGGGGGUAGAAUUCCAGGUGUAGCGGUGAAAUGCGUAGAGAUCUGGAGGAAUACCGGUGGCGAAGGCGGCCCCCUGGACAAAGACUGACGCUCAGGUGCGAAAGCGUGGGGAGCAAACAGGAUUAGAUAC
rnacentral:rRNA from 1 species